CUGACCUCUCUAUCUUCUCUGCAUUAAAUAAGGCCGGGACAAUGAUUGAAGCAUUCUGAUGUGUGUAAAUGCCAAAACCGAAAUUUUCAGACACAGGAAAUUAGAAGAUCAUGCAGAUCUAACAGUACGAAGUUGAAAAAGUUAUCCUUAGCAGUGUGAAGUUGUUUGUUUCUCUUCAUUCUUCUCAACCGACAACACCAGAAAACAGUGAUGAGGAGCUGAAGGAAGAAUGGAAGAAAGAAAAAUGAGAAGCGCUCUGUUGUUCAAAGACAAAUCGGUUUCUUUCAUAAAAAGAUUUGCUUUCUCCAUUUCCUAUGUUCUGCUUCCUGCAACUCUGCUUUGUACAUUCUUCUACCUUCUCUCCAUAACUCAAUAUUCCACAACCACCACCACUUACCGUCCUUCUUUUUCUUCUCCUCAUCCUUCUCUGCCUUCAACAUCUCCUUCUUUUUCUUCAGAAAGGGACAAAGUUUACCAUGACUCAUGUGACUACUCUGAUGGUGAAUGGGUUGAUGACAGAAGUGGUCCUUUAUACAAUGUAACUACAUGUGGCACAAUCAAAGAGAGUGAGAAAUGCAUCUCCAAUGGAAGACCUGACUUGGGCUAUCUGUAUUGGAGAUGGCAGCCCAAAGAAUGCAAUCUUCCAAGGUUUGAACCUCUCACGUUUCUCCAAGUAGUUGAGAACAAACACGUAGCAUUUGUUGGGGACUCUUUGGCCAGGAACCAACUCGAGUCUCUUCUUUGCAUGCUAGCCACAGUUUCAACCCCAAAGCUUGUCUACAAAAGUCCCAAUGACAACAAAUUUCGUCGUUGGCACUUCCCUUCUCACAAUGCAAACUUGUCCUUGUAUUGGUCACCUUUUCUUGUGGAAGGGGUUGAAAGAUCAAACGAAGGGCCUUAUUACAACACCAUGUAUUUGGAUCAUGUUAAUGAGAGAUGGGCAAGGGACUUAGAGUGGUUUGACAUGAUUGUAGUGUCAUUUGGGCAUUGGUUUUUGCUUCCUUCUGUUUACUACGAGGGUGGUUUGGUUAUUGGCAGCUUGAACUGUCCUGAUCUGAAUCAUACUGAGAUGGAUUUCUAUGUCCCAUUGAGGAAGGUUUUGAGGACUACUCUGAGUAGCAUAAUUGAGAGAAAGAGGAGUGAAGUUGAUGUGAUUGUGAAAACAUUUUCACCUGCUCAUUUUGAAGGUGAUUGGGAUAAGGCUGGAACUUGUUUGAAGACUGAGCCUUACAAGAAGGAGGAGAAGGAAGUUGAAGGCAUGGAUGCUGAGAUCAGAAAGAUUGAGAUAGAAGAAGUGGAGAAUGCAAAGGCAAAAGCUACUGAAUUUGGAGGCUUCAGAUAAGAUAUUCUUGAUGUAACAAGAUUGGCAUUGUUGAGACCAGAUGGUCACCCUGGUCCUUAUAUGAACCCUUUCCCAUUUGCUAAAGGUGUUCCAGAACGUGUGCAAAAUGAUUGUGUUCAUUGGUGCUUGCCAGGACCUAUAGACACAUGGAAUCAGAUUUUUCUACAGAUCAUCAAAAAGCGGGAGAAAAGGGAAAUUGUUGGAUAAUAUUUGGGACAUUUGGAGGUGAAAAGAAAAUGCCACAUCAGUUAUAAUUUAAGUUAAAAUGAUUGAGGAGGUGUGAAUUUCAAUUAAGGGGGUGCAAACGGAUGAGCUGGAACGUUGGGAUGAAGACGUGGUGCUUGGGAGAGACCGUGGGGUGCAUCCAGCAAAAGCCCCACACUUGGCAUGAUGAUGCCACGUACUCGGAGCUCCAGAGGUUUUGAUUCAUGAGAGAGCAGCACACGUGGAGAUUCAUUUCUUCAUCCAGUCUUCACUUCAUCACGCAUCCAGCAAAAGAAGGGGCAGCAGGCCCACCUAUCUUCAUUCAUGUGUCCAGCAGGGCUUCACCACGUUCCAGUAGCUUGAGGAAAGGAGUGACAUCCAGCUGUCUUCACGUACCCACCAUCAGCACACGUAUUCGGCCCAUACCGAGAGAACCACGCGUCCGAGAGGUGUGAUGGAAGGCCUGCUUUCACGCGGAGAAUGGGAAGAAAACUUGAGGUGCGACAAGCAAAAAUCAACACGCGGUCCAGCAGCUUAGAUUCAUGAAAGCAGUAGCAGACAUCCAAAGCUCUCGGUCCAACACGCAAUGGAGGGUGUCUCGGCUUGGAGCUGGAGGUGACGUCUAGCAAUAGGAAGCCCUCGGUCAGAUUCUAGCUUGGAAACACUGCACGCACAAGGUCCAGCAGGUUUUGAUGAUGGAGGACAAGGAGCAAGGGGGGGUCUCGGCCUGGAGCUGUAGCCGCCAACCUCAGUUUCUCUUUGAAUGUUUUUUUUUGAAUUGAAAGAAGUGUGCAAUGCUGAUACGGAGAUGAAUGAAAAAGCUUCACCUUAAUUUCAUUUGGUUGAUUUAUUCAUUGCCCUUUUCAUUUGGUUCAUGCAUUUUUUUUUAUUGAAGUGUUGGUGUGCACGUGAAUGUGACCUGCAAGCUGCUGGAACGGUGAUGGAGUUUGAAAGGAGGUGUCAUGGUUUGGUUGGGAGAAGCACAUUUCAUUCUUAUGUGAUAUGCUGAUUUAUUUUGUUUGUGGCCCACAUUGGUGAUGCAUUUUAAUGUGGAGCAAGGCAGGAAGAGUGGUGUCACGGCCUGAAUCAUUUGUGUCAUUAAAUGCUCAUCUUUUGCAUUGAAUAUUUGAUUUCUAAGCUGCAACUUUCGUUUGUUUAUUAGUUAGCGUGGUUCCAUUUUAAUUUAGGUAGAUGAGUUUUAGAUUUCUUUUAUUGCAUUUCAAUUCGGUUAUGAGUUGUCUUAAAUAUUUAGUGCAUUUAAUUUGGUUUAUAUGUGCAUUUUAUUUUUAACCAAGUGUCUCUUAUUAUCUGCUGAAUUUUAAUUAGUUCACACGUUUUGUUUUAGGACCGUUCAGUUUAUUGUUUUCAUUCACUAUGUUGUCUAUCGUGUUCUGCUUCUUUA